rnacentral:rRNA from 1 species
GGUUCGAUCAUGGCUCAGAUUGAACGCUGGCGGGAUGCUUUACACAUGCAAGUCGAACGGCAGCACGGACUUCGGUCUGGUGGCGAGUGGCGAACGGGUGAGUAAUGUAUCGGAACGUGCCUAGUAGCGGGGAUAACUACGCGAAAGCGUAGCUAAUACCGCAUACGCCUCGGGGGAAAGCGGGGACCUUCGGGCCUCGCACUAUUAGAGCGGCCGAUAUCGGAUUAGCUAGUUGGUGGGGUAACGGCUCACUAAGGCGACGAUCCGUAGCUGGUUUGAGAGGACGACCAGCCUACACUGGGACUGGAGACACGGCCCAGACUCCUACGGAGGCAGCAGUGGGAAUUUUUGGACAAUGGGGGAAACCCUGAUCCAGCCAUCCCGCGGGGCGAUGAAGGCCUUUCGGGUUGUAAAGCACUUUUGGCAGGAAGAAACGGCACGGGCUAAUACCCCGCAACCGACGGUACCUGCAGAAUAAGCACCGCCAACUACGUGCCAGCAGCCGCGUAAUACGUAGGGUGCAAGCGUUAAUCGGAAUUACUUUUGGACGUAAAGUGGCAGCAGGCGGUUCGAAAAAGAAAGAUGUGAAAUCCCAGAGCUUAACUUGAACUGCAUUUUUAACUACUGAGCGAGCGGUAUUAGAGGAGGUGGAAUCGCGUAGCAGGAAAUGCGUAGAUAUGUGAUAUAGACAUCACGGCGAAGGCAGCCUCCUGGGAUAACGACGUCGAAAUGAAAGCGUGGGAGCAAACAGAUUGAGACACCCGGUAAAUUCACGCCCUGCAAAACGAUGUCAACUAGCUGUUAGCCUUCAGCCUUGCAGCAGCCAUCGCAGGUGAAGUUGACCGCCUGGGGAGUACGGUCGCAAGAUUAAAACCCGGAAGGGAAUUGACGGGACCCGCACGCGGAUGAUGUAGAUGACCGAUGCGUACAAGAAACCUACCUACUCCCUGAUGGCGCGUUCAACCCGGAAGAGAUUUGGGAGUGCUCGCAAGAGAACCGGAACACAGGUGCUGCAUAUUGGCUACCGCCGUGGUCGUGAGAUGUUGGGUUAAGUCCCGGGCAACGAGCGCAACCCUUGUCAUUAGUUGCUACGAAAGGGCACUCUAAUGAGACUGCCGGUGACAAACCGGAGUAGCGAUGACGUCGUCCAGGCCCUUAUGGGUAGUCGCAGACGCUUCAAUGGUCGGGACAGAGGGUCGCCAACCCGCGAGGGAGCCACCGGGGAAACCGAUCGUGGUCCGGAUCGCAGUCUUUGCAACUCGACUGCGUGUCGGAAUCGCUGGUAAUCAUGGAUCAGCAUGUCGCGUGAAUACGUUCCCGGGUCUUGUACACCGCCAGUCAGCACUAUGGAGUGGGUUUUACCAGAAGUAGUUAGCCUAACUGCAAGGAGGCGAUAAUAUUGCAUGGCAGAUUCAUGACUGGGGUGAAGUCGUAACAAGGCAACUUCGAAAGACACCACGCCCACA